UAGAUCUUUAGAAGUACAUUCAGCAAUAGGGAGGUCAUCAGCGCAGAGGAGGAGGUCAUCCACAUAUUGUAGCAGGACCACAUCAAUGUGGGAUUUUUGCCAUGAGCCCAGAAUCGAAGCAAUAGCCUUGGCAAAUUGACUAGGAGAGUUUUGUGCCCCUUGAGGCAUGACAGUCCAUGUGCUGCUGUACACUGAAGAAAGCAUUAGCCAGAUCCACCACUGUGAAGAACUUGGAGGUAGGUGGGAUCCCAGACAGUAGUGUAUGAG